UGGCGGCGUGCCUAACACAUGCAAGUCGAACGGGGUGAUUUCCUUCGGGAGAUCGCUUAGUGGCGAACGGGUGAGUAACGCGUGAGAAACCUGCCUUUCAGUGGGGGACAACAGUUGGAAACGACUGCUAAUACCGCAUAACAUAUUCGGACCGCAUGAUCUGAAUAUCAAAGCUUUAUGUGCUGGAAGAUGGCCUCGCGUCUGAUUAGCUAGUUGGUGGGGUAACGGCUUACCAAGGCGACGAUCAGUAGCCGACCUGAGAGGGUGAACGGCCACAUUGGGACUGAGACACGGCCCAAACUCCUACGGGAGGCAGCAGUGGGGAAUAUUGCACAAUGGGGGAAACCCUGAUGCAGCGACGCCGCGUGAGUGAAGAAGUAUUUCGGUAUGUAAAGCUCUAUCAGCAGGGAAGAAAAUGACGGUACCUGACUAAGAAGCCCCGGCUAACUACGUG
rnacentral:rRNA from 1 species